rnacentral:rRNA from 1 species
CAGCAGCCGCGGGAAAACGUAGGGUGCAAGCGUUAUCCGGAAUUAUUGGGCGUAAAGAGCUCAUAGGCGGUUUGUCGCGUCUGCCGUGAAAGUCCGGGGCUCAACCCCGGAUCUGCGGUGGGUACGGGCAGACUAGAGUGAUGUAGGGGAGACUGGAAUUCCUGGUGUAGCGGUGAAAUGCGCAGAUAUCAGGAGGAACACCGUUGGCGAAGGCAGGUCUCUGGGCAUUAACUGACGCUGAGGAGCGAAAGCAUGGGGAGCGAACAGGAUUAGAUACCCGGGUAGUCCCUGUCUCUUAUAA